rnacentral:lncRNA from 1 species
CAAAACUGAUAAAAAUAAAAAAUUUUGUGAUCUUUUCAAUCCCCCAAAGGAAGCAGUAAGUCUAAUUCUAAUCCAGUUUUUUUGUUUUAAUUAAUGAUUAUUUUAAAUAAUUUCAUCAUUAUUCUAAUAUAUAUACUAAUUUAUUUUAGAUUCAUCCGUGGCUUGUUUCGACCAAUCGAGAGUUGAAGAUGUCAUUUUUCUUACUUUAUGGUCUGUGCAAACUUUAUCAGACCCUAAGAUCGUUGAAAGAAUAAAAAUGAAAUUGUUUGGAGCAACAGUCAUCACAAGAAAAAUAAUUUUGGAGGGUG